rnacentral:rRNA from 1 species
AGUGAACGCUGGCGGUAGGCCUAACACAUGCAAGUCGAACGGCAGCACAGUAAGAGCUUGCUCUUACGGGUGGCGAGUGGCGGACGGGUGAGGAAUACAUCGGAAUCUACUUUUUCGUGGGGGAUAACGUAGGGAAACUUACGCUAAUACCGCAUACGACCUACGGGUGAAAGCAGGGGAUCUUCGGACCUUGCGCGAUUGAAUGAGCCGAUGUCGGAUUAGCUAGUUGGCGGGGUAAAGGCCCACCAAGGCGACGAUCCGUAGCUGGUCUGAGAGGAUGAUCAGCCACACUGGAACUGAGACUCGGUCCAGACUCCUACGGGAGGCAGCAGUGGGGAAUAUUGGACAAUGGGCGCAAGCCUGAUCCAGCCAUACCGCGUGGGUGAAGAAGGCCUUCGGGUUGUAAAGCCCUUUUGUUGGGAAAGAAAAGCAGCAGGUUAAUACCCCGCUGUUCUGACAGUACCCAAAGAAUAAGCACCGGCUAACUUCGUG